rnacentral:lncRNA from 1 species
UCCUGGGCUGCCAGCCACAGCCUCCACACAGGGCAUGCCCCGGGGAACAGUACCGGCUCAUCUCAGAACUGGCCACUGGAGCCCCUCCAGUGGAGGAUCAGGAUGCCAGCCAGAGACCAGGGAGUUUAACUUGGCCAAGAAGAAGCUUGGCGGGGUCUGAUAAUAACUGUAAUAGUCAGCCAUCAUCGUGUAGAAACCACACCUAAACCUAGCGUCUUCCCACAAUAACCGUUUGCUCAUAACUCCUCCACAGUGGGGCCAGGAGGCUUUUCUCUGUCUGGUGUGGGUUUCUGCACAUCGGAGGCAUGUGGGACAUCCAGGGACCGCUCUACCUCAUUUUCCUUCCUUGUCCUUUACAGGCUUCUCAUCCACAGGAUGGCAGACUGAACAUGGCUUCUCAGGGCAUCAGAUCAGUGGGGGAGACUGCUCUAGGGCCCUCUGUGCCUGUACUCAGAAUUCCUGUGGUCUUCUAUGUCACCAAGGGAAAAAAGUGAAUGAGUGCUUUCACCAGAGGCCUCCAGGAAGGCUCAGCUCCAGGAGACAAAACCCAGGCAAACAAUCAGCUUAAAGGAAGCUUCCCUUGAGGCCUGGGGAGAGAUGCGUGGGGCUGAGAAAACUUUUCCAGGCUGUGGGAAGAGCUGCUGUGGACUCUGAACUUAUCCUUGCUCCUUCCUGAACACCAUUUCGAGAACAUCUCUGGUGCGGAUGUUAACCAGACGAACCGUACAAGCCAUGCACCUCCAAGUGGAGGUUCCUCUGGCUGUUCUGAAACUUCGGGGAACAGAAUGACUUUUUCAGGACUCUGGCUUUUCAGGUGAGACAGUUCCUGAUGAUGCUUUUUGGAGUAAGGGCUGAACAGGCACCAGGUACUGGUUUCUCAUGUGCUCCUUGUUAGUCACACCUCACCCUGUGUAGAGUACAAACACUCCCAAGUCAUGAACAACAGCAUCCCACAAGGAUGCAGGAGAACACAAUCCCGUUUGGUUUUUCAAACAAACUCAUUCAUUGGUGGGUACAGAAUUGCAGACUCCCUGAUACUCGUGUGCACACCCCAAGAUGAGGUCCCCUGCUCCAGGAAACCUGUAACUAAAAGCACUAGUUUCCUGAAGCUGGCUGAACUGGGUAAGGGUUUUCUAUUGCCUUUGAAGUGCAGAUCUGGAACCUCUGGGGAGCUUCUAUUUUAAAGAUACAAGAAGAAUAAGGCUGUUUCCUUCCUUUUAGAAGACCGACAGGUAUAAACAAACCAGGAGGGGUGGGGGCGGGCUGCCUGGUCUCUGAGGUCAGGAGCCAGCAACAGGAGCGGAGAAGCAUCCCUCUGCAAUGCAUGACUGCGAAGUAUGCAAAAUCAUGCCAAGUUAAUUUGGUGCAGCUGGGGAGGAUGGGCGGCUCUGUCAGAGUCUGUUGUUUGUGAGCCAAGCACCUCAUUUCUCCAGCUGUUCAUGAGCGUGUGUGUGUGUGUGUGUGUGUGUGUGUGUGUGUGUGUGUCCUAAAGGAAACAAAGAUGUAGAGGAAAUGAAGACGUUAGAGCCAGAAGCCAGUUUCUGCCAACAGGAACAAAGGGGACGAUUGUGCUUCUCAUUCGGAGGCCACACUGUCAAGAGGCACGAGACACCAAUACGCACUGAGACUGUAUGAGGGCCCCCGCCAAGGGAACGUCCAGAUACACUCUUUCACAACCCAGGGCUCUCAGAAAGACUGGUCAGGGCGUGGCUGCUUUCGUGGUGGCCUCUCCAAGUAAGAGAAAAUGCAAAUAUUGUGCCUGCUCUGUAGCUUUCUUCAAACCAGUGCAAGUCUUUCUCAGCGCAAGGUCACACUUUUCUCUCAAUAUUAGUUAAAAACAGCCCUGGUCUUGUUUCAGGAAAGCUUCCCAGGACAGUAGCCAAACUCUUACCAAACACACACACACACACACACUCACCAGUGUGGGAGGGGUGGGAGGAGGGAUGACCAAUCCAUGUGAUUUCCUGCCGGCCUAGAAUUGUGCUGGAGUCAGGAGCUUUCUCCGAGGAAGAGCCAGGCAGCAUUGGAGAAGCAGUGUGGUGUGCCUGAGCUCACCGGCUCUUCCAGCACCCACCUCAGGCAAGCAGUUUAGCUGCCUCACGGUGGAGGAAAUACCUACUUGGUGAGUCUGAAGCAGGACUCCAGGAAACGGCUGCCUGUGGAUGAGUUCUGGACACAGAGAACAAGUCUCUGGCUUUCAUUUAAUCGAACUUGAUCCACUCCGUUAAAAAAUUCAGCAAUUCAGGGACAGUUGAUGAGUUCCACAGGCCAUGUGGCCUCCUGAGACCCCAGCCUGGCCCUACCUGCCUUGCUAGAUAUGCAGACAGCUGAGGUGGACAGUCUGGCUUGCCCUGGGUGUUUCCAUCCUGGUGGGGUGAUGUGGACAUUUUGUCCCCUCCUCCCUUUCCCUCCUCUCCUCAAGGGCGGUGUGUGCAUCCAUUCUCACGGAAUGGUCUUGGUAUUGGUUAUGGUGUAGGGCGGUUCUUGGGGGUUUUUAUUU